rnacentral:misc_RNA from 1 species
GAUGAAGAACGCAGCGAAAUGCGAUAAGUAAUGUGAAUUGCAGAAUUCAGUGAAUCAUCGAAUCUUUGAACGCACAUUGCGCCCGCCAGUAUUCUGGCGGGCAUGCCUGUUCGAGCGUCAUUUCAACCCUCAAGCCCCAGCGGCCUGGUGUUGGGGACCGGCGACCUCGCCCGAGCCCGCCCUCCGGGGCGCGUGCCCGGUGCGUCCGCCGCCCCCGAAAUGAAUUGGCGGCCUCGUCGCGGCCUCCCCUGCGUAGUAGCACAACCUCGCAACGGGAACGUGACGGCGGCCACUGCCGUAAAACAACCCCAAUUUUAUUAGAGUUGACCUCGAAUCAGGUAGGAAUACCCGCUGAACUUAAGCAUAUCAAUAAGCGGAGGA